GGGUUGUGAGGUUAAGCGACUAAGCGUACACGGUGGAUGCCCUGGCAGUCAGAGGCGAUGAAGGACGUGCUAAUCUGCGAAAAGCGUCGGUAAGGUGAUAUGAACCGUUAUAGCCGGCGAUGUCCGAAUGGGGAAACCCAGUGCAAUUCGUUGCACUAUCGUUAACUGAAUACAUAGGUUAACGAGGCGAACCGGGGGAACUGAAACAUCUAAGUACCCCGAGGAAAAGAAAUCAACCGAGAUUCCCCCAGUAGCGGCGAGCGAACGGGGAGCAGCCCAGAGUCUGAAUCAGCUUGUGUGUUAGUGGAACGGUCUGGAAAGUCCGACGGUACAGGGUGAUAGUCCCGUACACCAAAAUGCACAGGUUGUGAACUCGAAGAGUAGGGCGGGACACGUGGUAUCCUGUCUGAAUAUGGGGGGACCAUCCUCCAAGGCUAAAUACUCCUGACUGACCGAUAGUGAACCAGUACCGUGAGGGAAAGGCGAAAAGAACCCCGGCGAGGGGAGUGAAAAAGAACCUGAAACCGUGUACGUACAAGCAGUGGGAGCACCUUCGGGUGUGACUGCGUACCUUUUGUAUAAUGGGUCAGCGACUUAUAUUCUGUAGCAAGGUUAACCGUAUAGGGGAGCCGCAGGGAAACCGAGUCUUAACUGGGCGUUAAGUUGCAGGGUAUAGACCCGAAACCCGGUGAUCUAGCCAUGGGCAGGUUGAAGGUUGGGUAACACUAACUGGAGGACCGAACCGACUAAUGUUGAAAAAUUAGCGGAUGACUUGUGGCUGGGGGUGAAAGGCCAAUCAAACCGGGAGAUAGCUGGUUCUCCCCGAAAGCUAUUUAGGUAGCGCCUCGUGAAUUCAUCUUCGGGGGUAGAGCACUGUUUCGGCUAGGGGGUCAUCCCGACUUACCAACCCGAUGCAAACUACGAAUACCGAAGAAUGUUAUCACGGGAGACACACGGCGGGUGCUAACGUCCGUCGUGAAGAGGGAAACAACCCAGACCGCCAGCUAAGGUCCCAAAGUCAUGGUUAAGUGGGAAACGAUGUGGGAAGGCACAGACAGCCAGGAUGUUGGCUUAGAAGCAGCCAUCAUUUAAAGAAAGCGUAAUAGCUCACUGGUCGAGUCGGCCUGCGCGGAAGAUGUAACGGGGCUAAACCAUGCACCGAAGCUGCGGCAGCGACACUAUGUGUUGUUGGGUAGGGGAGCGUUCUGUAAGCCUGCGAAGGUGUGCUGUGAGGCAUGCUGGAGGUAUCAGAAGUGCGAAUGCUGACAUAAGUAACGAUAAAGCGGGUGAAAAGCCCGCUCGCCGGAAGACCAAGGGUUCCUGUCCAACGUUAAUCGGGGCAGGGUGAGUCGACCCCUAAGGCGAGGCCGAAAGGCGUAGUCGAUGGGAAACAGGUUAAUAUUCCUGUACUUGGUGUUACUGCGAAGGGGGGACGGAGAAGGCUAUGUUAGCCGGGCGACGGUUGUCCCGGUUUAAGCAUGUAGGCUGGUUAUCCAGGCAAAUCCGGAUAAUCAAGGCUGAGGUGUGAUGACGAGGCACUACGGUGCUGAAGUAACAAAUGCCCUGCUUCCAGGAAAAGCCUCUAAGCAUCAGGUAACAUCAAAUCGUACCCCAAACCGACACAGGUGGUCAGGUAGAGAAUACCAAGGCGCUUGAGAGAACUCGGGUGAAGGAACUAGGCAAAAUGGUGCCGUAACUUCGGGAGAAGGCACGCUGGUGUGUAGGUGAAGUCCCUGCGGAUGGAGCUGAGACCAGUCGAAGAUACCAGCUGGCUGCAACUGUUUAUUAAAAACACAGCACUGUGCAAACACGAAAGUGGACGUAUACGGUGUGACGCCUGCCCGGUGCCGGAAGGUUAAUUGAUGGGGUUAUCCGUAAGGAGAAGCUCUUGAUCGAAGCCCCGGUAAACGGCGGCCGUAACUAUAACGGUCCUAAGGUAGCGAAAUUCCUUGUCGGGUAAGUUCCGACCUGCACGAAUGGCGUAAUGAUGGCCAGGCUGUCUCCACCCGAGACUCAGUGAAAUUGAACUCGCUGUGAAGAUGCAGUGUACCCGCGGCAAGACGGAAAGACCCCGUGAACCUUUACUAUAGCUUGACACUGAACAUUGAGCCUUGAUGUGUAGGAUAGGUGGGAGGCUUUGAAGCGUGGACGCCAGUCUGCGUGGAGCCAACCUUGAAAUACCACCCUUUAAUGUUUGAUGUUCUAACGUUGGCCCCUUACCGGGGUUGCGGACAGUGUCUGGUGGGUAGUUUGACUGGGGCGGUCUCCUCCCAAAGCGUAACGGAGGAGCACGAAGGUUAGCUAAUCCUGGUCGGACAUCAGGAGGUUAGUGCAAUGGCAUAAGCUAGCUUGACUGCGAGCGUGACGGCGCGAGCAGGUGCGAAAGCAGGUCAUAGUGAUCCGGUGGUUCUGAAUGGAAGGGCCAUCGCUCAACGGAUAAAAGGUACUCCGGGGAUAACAGGCUGAUACCGCCCAAGAGUUCAUAUCGACGGCGGUGUUUGGCACCUCGAUGUCGGCUCAUCACAUCCUGGGGCUGAAGUAGGUCCCAAGGGUAUGGCUGUUCGCCAUUUAAAGUGGUACGCGAGCUGGGUUUAGAACGUCGUGAGACAGUUCGGUCCCUAUCUGCCGUGGGCGCUGGAGAAUUGAGGGGGGCUGCUCCUAGUACGAGAGGACCGGAGUGGACGCAUCACUGGUGUUCGGGUUGUCAUGCCAAUGGCACUGCCCGGUAGCUAAAUGCGGAAGAGAUAAGUGCUGAAAGCAUCUAAGCACGAAACUUGCCCCGAGAUGAGUUCUCCCUGAGACUUUAAGUCUCCUGAAGGAACGUUGAAGACGACGACGUUGAUAGGCCGGGUGUGUAAGCGCAGCGAUGCGUUGAGCUAACCGGUACUAAUGAACCGUGAGGCUUAACCUUACAACGCCGAAG
rnacentral:rRNA from 1 species